rnacentral:rRNA from 1 species
CUUAGAAGCAGCCAUCAUUUAAAGAAAGCGUAAUAGCUCACUGGUCGAGUCGGCCUGCGCGGAAGAUGUAACGGGGCUAAACCAUGCACCGAAGCUGCGGCAGCGACGCUUAUGCGUUGUUGGGUAGGGGAGCGUUCUGUAAGCCUGCGAAGGUGGCCUGUGAGGGUUGCUGGAGGUAUCAGAAGUGCGAAUGCUGACAUAAGUAACGAUAAAGCGGGUGAAAAGCCCGCUCGCCGGAAGACCAAGGGUUCCUGUCCAACGUUAAUCGGGGCAGGGUGAGUCGACCCCUAAGGCGAGGCCGAAAGGCGUAGUCGAUGGGAAACGGGUUAAUAUUCCCGUACUUGGUGUUACUGCGAAGGGGGGACGGAGAAGGCUAUGUUGGCCGGGCGACGGUUGUCCCGGUUUAAGCGUGUAGGUGUGUGUUCCAGGUAAAUCCGGUUCACUUUAACACUGAGGCGUGAUGACGAGGCACUACGGUGCUGAAGCAACAAAUGCCCUGCUUCCAGGAAAAGCCUCUAAGCAUCAGGUAACAUCAAAUCGUACCCCAAACCGACACAGGUGGUCAGGUAGAGAAUACCAAGGCGCUUGAGAGAACUCGGGUGAAGGAACUAGGCAAAAUGGUGCCGUAACUUCGGGAGAAGGCACGCUGACAUGUAGGUGAAGUGAUUUACUCAUGGAGCUGAAGUCAGUCGAAGAUACCAGCUGGCUGCAACUGUUUAUUAAAAACACAGCACUGUGCAAACACGAAAGUGGACGUAUACGGUGUGACGCCUGCCCGGUGCCGGAAGGUUAAUUGAUGGGGUCAGCGCAAGCGAAGCUCCUGAUCGAAGCCCCGGUAAACGGCGGCCGUAACUAUAACGGUCCUAAGGUAGCGAAAUUCCUUGUCGGGUAAGUUCCGACCUGCACGAAUGGCGUAAUGAUGGCCAGGCUGUCUCCACCCGAGACUCAGUGAAAUUGAACUCGCUGUGAAGAUGCAGUGUACCCGCGGCAAGACGGAAAGACCCCGUGAACCUUUACUAUAGCUUGACACUGAACAUUGAGCCUUGAUGUGUAGGAUAGGUGGGAGGCUUUGAAGCGUGGACGCCAGUCUGCGUGGAGCCGACCUUGAAAUACCACCCUUUAAUGUUUGAUGUUCUAACGUGGACCCGUGAUCCGGGUUGCGGACAGUGUCUGGUGGGUAGUUUGACUGGGGCGGUCUCCUCCUAAAGAGUAACGGAGGAGCACGAAGGUUGGCUAAUCCUGGUCGGACAUCAGGAGGUUAGUGCAAUGGCAUAAGCCAGCUUGACUGCGAGCGUGACGGCGCGAGCAGGUGCGAAAGCAGGUCAUAGUGAUCCGGUGGUUCUGAAUGGAAGGGCCAUCGCUCAACGGAUAAAAGGUACUCCGGGGAUAACAGGCUGAUACCGCCCAAGAGUUCAUAUCGACGGCGGUGUUUGGCACCUCGAUGUCGGCUCAUCACAUCCUGGGGCUGAAGUAGGUCCCAAGGGUAUGGCUGUUCGCCAUUUAAAGUGGUACGCGAGCUGGGUUUAGAACGUCGUGAGACAGUUCGGUCCCUAUCUGCCGUGGGCGCUGGAGAACUGAGGGGGGCUGCUCCUAGUACGAGAGGACCGGAGUGGACGCAUCACUGGUGUUCGGGUUGUCAUGCCAAUGGCACUGCCCGGUAGCUAAAUGCGGAAGAGAUAAGUGCUGAAAGCAUCUAAGCACGAAACUUGCCCCGAG